rnacentral:rRNA from 2 species
GUGCUAUACAUGCAGUCGAGCGAACAGAUGAGAAGCUUGCUUCUCUGAUGUUAGCGGCGGACGGGUGAGUAACACGUGGGUAACCUACCUAUAAGACUGGGAUAACUCCGGGAAACCGGGGCUAAUACCGGAUAAUAUUUUGAACCGCAUGGUUCAAUAGUGAAAGACGGUUUCGGCUGUCACUUAUAGAUGGACCCGCGCCGUAUUAGCUAGUUGGUAAGGUAACGGCUUACCAAGGCGACGAUACGUAGCCGACCUGAGAGGGUGAUCGGCCACACUGGAACUGAGACACGGUCCAGACUCCUACGGGAGGCAGCAGUAGGGAAUCUUCCGCAAUGGGCGAAAGCCUGACGGAGCAACGCCGCGUGAGUGAUGAAGGUCUUCAGAUCGU